CAAAGCACAGCCUGGAUUCGAAACAUCAGUUCAGAAUAUUGGUCCAACUUCUAAGGAAGUUCAUAAUAAAAUAUACUGAUACAAAGCUCCUACAACUGGUGGAUUAUAAAAAUCUGCCCUACUCCUUGCUGUUUUACUGUUUAUGUGAGAGAACUUCACUUAAGAAUACUGGUCUGGUUUCUGAGCUCUCGAUUACCGCCUUUUGCCUACUUGGUUCCAGGAUCAGUGACACUUGAAAGAAGUUAGAGAGAAGUUCGUUAUAGGUUUUCUUAAAUUGUAU